UGGGGAAUAUUGCACAAUGGGCGCAAGCCUGAUGCAGCCAUGCCGCGUGUAUGAAGAAGGCCUUCGGGUUGUAAAGUACUUUCAGCGGGGAGGAAGGCGAUAAGGUUAAUAACCUUGUCGAUUGACGUUACCAGCAGAAGAAGCACCGGCUAACUCCGUGCCAGCAGCCGCGGUAAUACGGAGGGUGCAAGCGUUAAUCGGAAUUACUGGGCGUAAAGCGCACGCAGGCGGUCUGUCAAGUCGGAUGUGAAAUCCCCGGGCUCAACCUGGGAACUGCAUUCGAAACUGGCAGGCUAGAGUCUUGUAGAGGGGGGUAGAAUUCCAGGUGUAGCGGUGAAAUGCGUAGAGAUCUGGAGGAAUACCGGUGGCGAAGGCGGCCCCCUGGACAAAGACUGACGCUCAGGUGCGAAAGCGUGGGGAGCAAACA
rnacentral:rRNA from 1 species